rnacentral:lncRNA from 1 species
UUUUUAUAGUAAUCAUAGCAAUACUCCUAAGUGCAGACUUUCCUACACACCCUGUGCUUCCUCGACCUCUACCUCUACCUCGAGUCAUAGCUAUUAAAAAACUGUAUUAGGUAAGUGGAAAUAAGAUACAAACUGAAUAAUCCCAAAAGAACCACAAAUAUGCUAUAAGGUAUCAGAAAAUCUAAAAGCACAUAAAUAUGUAACAUUGGAAUCCUACAGAAACUAAUUAUGUCCACAUGUAACAUUGGAGUCCUAUAGUAAAUAUGUAAUUUUGUGCACAUAUAACACUGGAAUCCUACAGAAUACUCCCAAUAACAUAGAAUAUUAUAAUUCUGUGCACAAGAACUCCUCUCAAAUCAAGAAUCACCAAUAGAUCAUCAACCUAAAAAAC